GUGGGCUCCCCUGCUGUGGGGAAGAGGGCCCUUCUCUCCCCGCAGCCUGGCUCCCCGACCCCGCACACACUGCUCCACCGUGGGGUCGCCGGCCCGAGCACUUCUCAGCGAUCCAGAGCCCCGCCCUCCCUACCAGGCUGGGACUGCCGGGGAAGGGGAUGACCGGUGGACGCUUGGGCCAGCUGCCUUGGAGGGACGCAGAGUCUGCCUCCUUGACCCUCUCCUCCAUCGCCUGGAGCGAACUCCCUUUUCCUGGAGCGAGGAGCAGCCCGGACCUUGAGGCAGGACUAAGCCUGUUGGGGUCUCUGUGUGGCCUGCAAGUCUCCUGGAGAAGCCCAGGGAAGGCCAGGGUCCUUCGAGUUCUGGGGUAUAGGUCAGGAUGUUCGAUCCACGCUGUGUGACCGCUCUCAGCGCCCUGCGCCCAGGCACCAACUUUAUAUGGCAGAGCCAGGUAACAGUGAGGCGCCGACCGGAAGUAAUAACCAGGGCACUCUCAUUCAGUAUGCUGGCUCGCAAAGUGCUCACACCUCAGCGUCGAGCGCCAGGACUCUUGUCCUAACUUCCCGAGUCGCGACUUCACAGAUUUCUGCUGAUUUUUUCUUGCACCAACAACUGGAUGAAGCCCUUGCCGGUGGUCCUGCAGGCCACACCCUUUCCUCUGGCAGCCAGUCUAGGGGGUGAGGGACAGGCCACCACGCUUCUUCUCACCACCAGGGGCCGCCCUUUGCGAUGGAACAACUGCUCAGAGAGAUGGAAGGAGAGCCUGUCACAAACCUCUGAAGCUGCAGCAGUCCAUGAUCGUGCACCGGGGGGGACAGGGGCCAGAGACCCCUCUUAGGAGGCUGGUCUGUGUCGUCCAUGCUUCAGCCCUCCGUCGCGUGUCACAGCUGCCCCCAGAGUCUCAGGAAUCAUGUGGCCUUUGAAGACUGUGGCCAGCUCCAACCCUGGACCCUGUCCCCAGUUCCCCCAGCCCCAUGGCCUCCAAAGAUGCAAGUUCAUGGCCUUCAUUCUUCCUUUGUGCCAACAGCCAGGACAUCACCAAAAUGAUAACCACAGGAAAGUUACAGUGUCCUGGAAGGAUCUUAUAUUCAUGAUCCUCUUCUGUGUUCCCUCAUUCCCUGGUCUAAACAGAGUCAGACACCAGGCCCUGCCCUUUCUUUUUGCCUCAACACUUCUCAGAAGUCAGAGUUCCAAAAUUCACCCGGGUAACAGAGCACCGGGAAGUUAUGGGCUCCCUAAGGAAACCAGUGAUUACUGAUGUUUCUAAUUCCAUCACAGGAAAGGAGGGUCAGGACCCAAUGCUAGAUGAGGUACAGGAAGAUCAGUGGUUAGUGCACAGGCUGUGGGUUUGUGCAAACCUUGGAUUGAAUUCCACCUCCAACACUUACUAAUUGUAUGACCUUGGGAAAGUCACUCCAUUUCUCAGAGUCUCAGUGCUCUGGACUGAAUUGUGUCUCCCUCCAAAUUCAUAUGUUGAAGCCCUAGCCCCCAGUGUGACUAUAUUUGGAGAUGGGGCCUUUAAGAAGGUAAUUAAGGUUAA